rnacentral:lncRNA from 1 species
GAAUUAUCCGCCACUUUCCUAAUUCAUUUCUUCAGACAAUACAAUCCCUACCUCUCCAAGAACGACCUUGUCCUCAAGGUCUUUGUUGAGAAACAAAUUUAGGAAAUUUGCUUUUGAUAUAGCUCCAAUCCUCCCAAGUGGUAUCCUCCUCCCAUAAAUUUUCCCAACGAAUCAAAACUUUCACUCGCACACCAUGAUUUUCCUUCACCAUACGCCUUUGAAGGAUGAAAACAUGUUGAAUCAAGAUUCAUCCUUCGUUAUCACAAACUGGUGGUUGUGGCUGUGAAAUAAUGGAUGGACCAACACGCUUUUUUAACUAAGAGAUGUGAAAGAUAGGAUGCAGCUGAGACCCUUCAGGAAGCUCUAAGCGGUAAGCCACUUUUCUGAUUCAUUGCAUGACCUUAUAAGGUUCACAAAAACGAGCACAUAACUUGACAUUUCUUCUGACAUCUAUGGAAGACUGUCAAUAUGGUUGUAGCUUAAGGUAGACUAGAUCUCCAAUCUUCAUACUCGGUCAGAUCCUAGCUUUUCAGAUAGAACUUCAUUAUAGAUUGAGUCUGUGUCAAAUUGUCCCUUAUAGACUGUAACAUCUAUUGUCUCUAGACUAAACACUCUUGAGCUAACUGAUGACCAGUCUGUGGUAAGGACCCCAAUGGAAGUUGUGGAGGAACAUACCUAUAGAGUACGUGAAAAGGUGUAGUCUUGAGGGAAUUGUGAUAGUUGGUGUUGUACCACCAUUUCGCCAAGUGUAACCAUUUUCCCUAUUGCUUAGGAUUAUUGAAGACCAUAGCUCUCAAAUAAGUUUCCAUGCACCUGUUAAGUCGCUCUGUUUUUCCAUCAGAUUGAGGGUGGUAAGUAGUGUUCAUGUUGAGCUUAGUGCACAAAGCUUGAAGAGAUGUUGUCAGAAAUGGCUGGUGAAAACAACAUCUCUGUCCGAGACAAUAGUCCUUGGCAAUCUAUGUAACAUAUAGAUUUCUUUGAGAAAUAAUUCAGCCACAUCUUGGGCUGUAUAUGGGUGUUUGAGUGCCAGAAGUGUCCAUAUUUGGUUAAUCUAUCCACUACCACCAUGACUAUAUAUUUGUGCCCAGAAUUGGGUAAACCUUCUACAAAGUCUAACGAUAUGUCUUGCCAAGCCUGUGUGGGUACAGGAAGGGGUUGUAGAAGCCCAGGUGGGUGAAUGUUUUUUGAUUUAACUCUUUGACACACAUCACACUCACUUUCCCAUUUACAAACCUCUACCUUCGUGUUUGGCCAAUAAAUUAUAGACUGUAUUCUUCUAUAGGUGCCAUAUUGGCAUGAGUGUCCUCCAAUAGGUGACUGAUGCAAGGCCUCUAAAAUCAUCGUUUUCAAAGUAGUGCUUCUUCCAAUGUAUAUCUUGUGUUUAUACGUUAUGACUCCUUGUUGCAAUGAAUAAUCUGUAAUGUUCGAGGGAGAAAUUUAUAGUUCACUAAGUAGUUGUGAGGCUAGAGGGUCUGAUUCAUAGCUUGAACAUACUUCUUCAAUCCAUGUAGCCUGAAUGGUGGAAAGGGCUAAGAGUGUAGAGUCUUCAUCAUGUCUUCUAGAUAAGGCAUCUGCUAUCUUGUUUUCUGCUCCCUUUUUAUAUUGAACCUCAUAAUCCAAUCCUAGAAAUUCUGUCAGGCCCUUCUGUUGUAAUGCUCGAGUUACCAUCUGCUCUAGUAAGUAUUAAUUUAGUUACAACUAGAAACAAUGACUACCAAACCAAUUAAUAUAUAUGUAAAUGCUAAGCAAAAAAAGACAAGAUCGGGAAGGAAAAUCGAAAUUCCACUUAAACAUAUUGAAGCUUCAAUUUCAUUUUGCACUUUCAAGGUUCAAAACAUACCCGAAACAACAAAGAAAAACAGAGAGGAAACUUCAGCAAAGACAAAGGGAACAGUAGCAAUCAACGAUAAUGUUCAGCUCUUUUUAGACCAGCCUCAAGCCCAGAAAACCAGGAACUCCAUGAAAAAGGCUCUUGAGGUUCUAAGAGAAGACCAUAAAACCAUGCAGUAAUGCAGAGAAGAAUUUUUUUUGUAUUUUUCCUAGGGGAUUCAUUUCUGAAAAGUUUUCAGGAUUUUUGUGCAGAUAAUAUGGCUCCAAAUCUCUCAACCAUUUGCAAGCUUUUUUUAUCCUAAUCUCUGCCCUCAAAAUUCAGGACAUGUGACUCUUAUAGAAUGGUACUAAGGCAGCAGAGAUUGAUUUUUCUUUUCUUUACAACACCAUCCCUAAUUUUUCUUUUUGUUCAUUUCAGGCCCUGAAUUUUAAGCGUGCUUUCUAAACCAGCCUAUUCCCUACUUUCCUAGAACUUUCAUAGGUAGUUAUUAAACAUUGUCUUAGUGUAAAUACCCUAAAUACCCUUUAACCUCUUGUUAUUAACCUUUUAGAAAGUACCAACAAAUGGGCUCGACCCUGACAUGCUUGAACCCUUCCCUUUUUUCUUUGGGCUUAUGUACUACAAGGUCCAAUUUCUAAUGGAAAACCAACAACCCACAAGAAAAAAAUGCCAACAGAGUUUUGAACUCCUGACAUCAAAAUUCCAAAGAAGCAAAAACAAAAGAAGAAUUGAGCAAAAAGCAAGCACGAAAUCAAAUGUACUAACAAAAAUAUGUUAACUGCAUUAUUAAGCUAAUAUUACUACAAAAUAAUAUGAUUUAAACCUAAGAUACAAGAAAAAAUUGAUUUGAACCAGAAAAGAAAGGAAGAAAAAGAAACAAAAAAGAGGAGACAAAGACCCCAAAAGUAAAGAUAAAGAAAGGGAUGAACGGCUUACCAAAGCUCAGAGAAUAAGAGCAUAGAUGACCAAUCUUGGGAUUCUUUGAGAAAGCUUGAAGCCGACCAUGGUGACCACUCUAGUCAAGAAUGGUGUACCAGGGCCAACUUUCAGCCAUGACAAGCGGAAAAUUCAAAAGAAAUUCUGAACUCCGAAAUUAGGGCACAUCCGGAUUCAAGAUUUAACGAGUUCCAACAGCUAUUUGGGAGAAACGCCAAAGGUUUCAAGUUAUGGUAGGCUUUGUAGUUAUAAGGUGUAAAUUUGGGGAUAAUUUGGGGUUGCGCCGCCGGCCGGAGACGAUGGGGAUUUUGGGGCAGCAGAUCUUUUAGGGUUUGGAUUGAGAGAGAUGUAAGAGUGAGAGGGGUUCAAAUGGCGGGGGNNNNNNNNNNNNNNNNNNNNNNNNNNNNNNNNNNNNNNNNNNNNNNNNNNNNNNNNNNNNNNNNNNNNNNNNNNNNNNNNNNNNNNNNNNNNNNNNNNNNNNNNNNNNNNNNNNNNNNNNNNNNNNNNNNNNNNNNNNNNNNNNNNNNNNNNNNNNNNNNNNNNNNNNNNNNNNNNNNNNNNNNNNNNNNNNNNNNNNNNNNNNNNNNNNNNNNNNNNNNNNNNNNNNNNNNNNNNNNNNNNNNNNNNNNNNNNNNNNNNNNNNNNNNNNNNNNNNNNNNNNNNNNNNNNNNNNNNNNNNNNNNNNNNNNNNNNNNNNNNNNNNNNNNNNNNNNNNNNNNNNNNNNNNNNNNNNNNNNNNNNNNNNNNNNNNNNNNNNNNNNNNNNNNNNNNNNNNNNNNNNNNNNNNNNNNNNNNNNNNNNNNNNNNNNNNNNNNNNNNNNNNNNNNNNNNCAGACAGCUAAAUAUAAAUGACACCUUAGUUCUAGACCAUUGGAUUUUGGAAAUCCAACGGUUGAGAUGAAAAGUCAAAAAAUGGAGGUCGUUUAUGUUGAGGCAAGGUUGGACCGGGUGACCAGAGUUUUGGGGUCUGGGUCAGACCGAUUUGGGUUAGAUUGUGGUAGGAAUUGUUUGGGUUUUGGAUUUGGGCCUCAAUUAAAUAGCACUUUCUGUUUAAUUCCAUUUUUUUCCAAUUGUUCUCUUUUCCUAUUUUAAUUAAAACAUAAAUUAAAACUCCUAAAAUAAUUAAUUUGAAAACAUUAAGAUGAUUAUGUACUAUUUAAAAAUUUAAUUACUCUUAAACUAAAAGAUAAAAUCACUAAUUUUAAAACUAAAAGGCUAAAAAUGCAAAAGUAAAUCAAUUUUUUGUGAUUUUUCAUUUUUUAAAUAAAAAAACUAAGUUACUAAUUAACCUUAAAAAAAUAAAAAAACCUAAAUACAAUGCAUGGUAUUUUUGGCAUUUUCAUAAUUUUUUAACAAAAAUGGACAUGCAAAAAAAUACGAACAAUUAGCACAAAUUCCGCAAAAUCCUAUAAAAUCAUAAAAAAUGGAAAAACAAUGUUUUUCUUGAAUUUUAUAGGAGUAACUCAUAUUGAGAAAAAAAUCACAUGCUCACACAUAUGAUAAGUGCAUCAGAAGCCUUAGCCUCAAGCCUGGCCGGAUACUAAUAAAAUCUGGGGAUGCACUAUAAGACUGCUGAUCAGAACACUGCAUGUAAGAACCACGACCACCUGGGGCACCAUAAGAAGUAUGAAGUGCUGAAUGAAACAGCUUGGGAGGAUGACCCCUACCAAAAGAAUCCGGGCCUAUAGACGAGGCACCAUUGAACCUACCAGAAUGGCGAGGUCUCUUGAUGACCCUUGACCACCCCCUGUGAUAGAACCAUCUCUACUCUUUUGGCCAUAUUGGCCGCCUCCUAGAAAGAAAUCUCACUCCCCGUCUCCUUAGCCAUCUGCAAUCAAAUAGGCUGAAUGAGUCCCUCAAUGAACCUCCUCACUCUCUCUCUUAGUGGGAAGUAUAAAAAUAGCAUGACGGGCCAAGUGAAUAAAUUUGGUAUUGUACUGUGUAACCGUCAUAGGACCCUACUAGAGAUGCUCAAACUGCCUCCGAUAGUUCUCCCUCUGAGUGAUAGGAAGAAACUUCUCCAGAUAUAGCUGAUAAAAUUGAUCCCAAGUCAAAUCUGGUGACCCAAUUUGUCUAGCCAAACAAUAAUCUCUCCACCAAGUCUUGGCGGAUUCAGAUAAGCAAAAAGCAGCAAACUCGACCCCAUUGGUCUCCACUAUCUCCAUGUUCCUGAGAACCUCAUGGCAGCUAUCUAAAUAAUCCUAGGGAUCUUCAGAAGAUGCACCGCUGAAAAUGGUAGUGAAGAGCUUGGUGAACUUGUCCAAUCUCCACAAGGCAUCAGCAGAAGUAGUUGCUCCAUCACCGGUCUGAGCUACCACACCCGGCUGAACUACUCCAACUGACUGAGCUGCUGGAGUCUAAAACUGGGGAGCCAUUUGCUCCGGAGUGCAAGUAGCAGGAGUAUGUGAUCCUCCUCCAGCCCGAGAGAGAAAUAGUGCCGCAGGAUGUAAGCCUGCCUAGAACGACCUUGUCCUCAAGGUCUUUAGACGAACCAAAGCAUCCUGAAGUAAUGGGGUAGCAAUGAACCCCUAUGGGACCUGAGCUAGGCCCACACAAAAUUGCUUGGGCUGGAACCUCAUCAUCAAAAUCAACUUGAGGCUUUGGCGCUGGUGCUGCUGCUUGAAUCCUGGGCUGAGCUCUGCCUUUUCCUCGGGACCUAGCAUGUCCUCGGCCUCUACACCUAGCAGGAGCUGAUACCAGGGGCUCGGGCUACUGGUCAACUGAUGAAGCUGCACGUGUUCUCAUCAUCUGCGAGAGAACAGAGUUGAUGUUCAAUUAGCAUUGAGAAAUCAAAUUGCACGACAAGAAAGAAUAGAUGUAAAGUUUUUCCUUACUCUAUAGCCUCUAGGGAUAAAUACAAAUGUCUCUGUAUUGAUCCCACAAACUCUAUUAAACUUGUCCGUGAAUUGUGAGAACUAAGUAACCUAGAGCUUUAAUACCAACUUGUCACGACCCGUAUUUCCCACCCUCGGGAGUCGUGAUGGUGCCUACUUGUGAAAGCUAGACAAGCCAAGUGUUAUAAGUUUGUUACCCUUUUAUUUAGCCCCUUCGACAGUUCAAUGUAAUAAGUGAUCAAACAAUGGAAUAAAUUAAAUAACGAAAAGAUGCGGAAGAAAAAAAUUUAAUAGUUUAAUCAAACACUAAUACAUAAAUACGAAAUACAACUCUACCCAGAAUUUAGUGUCACAAAGCCACGGACUAUCUACGAAUUCUAAAAACAGAGGUCUGAAAGAUAAUUACAUCUUGUUUUCGUAUUACAUAAAAGGAACAGUAUAGAAAUAUAGAUGGAGAUGCCAAGGUCUGUGGACGCCUGAAAGACUACCUCGAGUCGCCUGAAUGGACUGAAGACAGCACCCUCACUAUGGUCCAAAAGCUGUAGUGUCGGGAUCUGCACAAAGUGCAGAGUGUAGUAUCUACACAACCGACCCCAUGUGCCAGUAAGUGCCAAGCCUAUCCUCGGCGAAGUAAUGACGAGGCUAGGACUAGACUACCGAGUAAACAUGUGCAGUUAAAUCAUAUACAACAAAAAACUACAAGCACAUAUUCACAGUAAAGAUAGGGGGUGGGGAAAGCAUGUUGCGAGGAGUAUCAGAUAACUACAGAAUACUGAUAGAGGAAUGUAAGGAAAACCAUAAUUCAAUUACUAACAAGAAUAAGGAAACAAUCACAGUAUUCACUUUUAUCUCUUUCUUGUUGCAGGUGUGCAACCCGAUCCCAUUUUAUUGGUUACCAGGGUGGCGUGCUACCCGAUCCCAUUUCAUAUAUCUUGUGACAGGCAUGCAACCCGAUCCUAUUCCAUAUAUCUUGUUGCAGGCGUGCACCCCCACUCCCAUUUCAUAUAUCUCGUUGUAGACGUGCAACCCUCUCACAUUUUAUAUAUUACAAUGGCAGCGUGCCACCCUAUCCCAUAUAUAAUUCAACAUCAAUCAUAAAAAGAAUCCCGGCAAGGGAACAAAAGUAUAACAAAAAUAUCCCAGUAAGGGAGACGAUAUCAUAAACAAUAACAUCCCAGCAAAGGAGACAAUAUCAUAAACAAUGACAUUCGGGCAAGGGAAACAAUAUCAUAAACAAGAACAUCGUGACAAGGUAAAUAAUAUUAUAAACAAUAACAUCCCGGCAAGUGAACCAACAAUGAUAGUAAUCAUAUUAGGCAUGAAUAAGUCACUACAGAGUCAUUACAUUUACAAUACUAGACUCACAAGCAUGCUUAACACCGACUUAUAGAUACUCAUCGCCAUGCCUAUACAUUGUACUCCACAAUAACACAUAACAAGUAAGGCACAGCUCCUAAUCCCUCAAGUUAAGGUUAAAUCAAACAGUUACUUCAAUGCUACAAACGCAAUUGAAGCCUCAACUACCGCUUUACCUCUUGUUCUACUACCAAUUCACUUGUAUCUAGCCACAAGUUACUUAACUAUAUCAAUAAAUUCUAAAUAAAUCAAUUCUAAUGCAUGAAAGUAAAUUUUCCAAUGAUUUUCCCAAAAAGUCAAAAAUCGACCCCGGGCCUACAUGGUCAAAACCCGAGGUUCGAACCAAAACCUGAUCACCCACAAACUUACGAACUCAAAUAUUGAAUUUGUUUUGAAAUCGGACCUCAAAUUGAGGUCCGACUCCCCAAAAUUUGAAAAUCCUAAGUUCUACCCAAAAGUAACCAAUUCCACCAUGAAAACCAUAGAUUCUAAGAUGAAAUCUUGUAAAAAGAAGUUAAGGAGUAAAGGAAAUAAGUUAAAAAUCACUUGUGUUUUGGGAAAGAAAGAGUAUUUUGAAAAUCGCCUCUUAUGUUUGUAGGGUUUUAAAAAGUGAAAAAUAGCUCAAGAGUCCCAUUUAUAUACUCAUCUCAGACCCUCACCACGGACCGCAUAAAAGGAUAGGGCCACGGAGCUCCAACAUGGGCUGUGAAAUAUCUUGCGCGGUCAUGAAGGCUUAGCCUUGCUCAUCGCAUACCGCAUAAAUCCCAUCAUUGUAGCGAAGGCCCUACCGAGGUCGUGAGAAACUAUUGCGGACCGCGAGGUCUAAUUCAGAGAUAUGCAAUUUCUCUGAACUUGCAACAACUAUGUUCCAAGUCUAAAUCCACUUAGUGGUUUAUCCAAAACUCACCCAAGCCCUUGGGGCUCUAAACCAAACAUGCACGCAAGUCCAAAAAUAUUAUACAAACUUGCUUGUGCAUUCAAAUUAUCAAAAUAAUGUCAAUUACUAUGAAUUUAUAAUCAAAAUUAAAGACAAUUAACAUGAACUCUUAUGUUCAAAUUUUAAUAACCGAAGGUCUAAUUCAUGUCAUUUCAAGUCCGUUUCUUACCAUGUUUUUACAAGAUCAACUUAAAUCCCAUAUAAGACCUAUACCUGACACUGAAACCAAAAUACGGGCCCGAUAUCAUCAAAUCUAAACAUAUUUAAAUUUCUGAAACUCUUAAAAUUUCAGUUAAACAAUUUUUUUUUGAAAAUUUAUAUCUCGGGAUUGGAACCUCGGAAUUCGAUUCCGGGCUUAUGCUCAAAUCUCAUACUUUCCUACGGAUCCUCCGAGACCGUCAAAUCACGAGUACGAGUCCUUUUACCUAUUAUAUUUGACCAAAGUCAAACUGAAUUCAGUUUAUGAGCAAAAUUUAUCAUUUUGUCAUAGAUUUUCACAUAAUGAUUUUCAGGAUACACUCCCAGACUUUGCACGCACAUAGAGGUAAGAUAAAAAGAGGUUGUACGGCCUCGAAACAUAGAAUUUAUUUCUAAAAUGAGUGAUGACUAUUUGGCUCAUCAAAUGUAAAUACACCAAAGUCUUCAAAGAUAUUGCUUUAUCCAUAGUAUUUGAGCACAACAAGAAAUAGCAACAACGUAUUUAGCUUCAGCAUCAGAAAGAACCAUAUAAUUUAUUUCUUUGUGCCCUAUGAGAUCAAGUAUGACCCCAAACAAUUUUCCGUUCCAGAAGUGCUUUUUCUGUCCACCAGAUAUUUAACAUAAUCAGCAUCAACAUAUCCAACCAAAUCAAAAGAAUAUGCUGAACAAUAGACGAGGACCUUGUCCUGCGUUUCCUUAGGAUACCUCAAACUUCCCUUGGCACCCUUCAAGUGAGAGUGUUUUGGGCCAUGUUCUAAUCACUAUUCUGUAUGAAGGCUUAGGGACCAAAUGCCAAACUUGGUUCCACUCAACUGAUGGAGUUCUUCUUGCAUAACAUCUAUCCAGUUAGCAUUUUUCAAUGCUUCUUUGAUGUUCUUUGGCUCGAUUUAAGACAAGAAAACUUAGAGGGAAAACAUGUUCCUUACCUUAGAACUAGGUUGAAUAAAAGAGUCUUAAGGAUGUGAUUACAUUUUGAAGGGAUGUGAACUCUUUUGAUUUUAGUUGGAUACUUGAACUUUAGAACUUGAAGGACCGGGUUCUUUCAUAUGUGAAUCAUCAUUCACAUCAACAGAAUUUGGCUUCCACCAUUUUGUUUUGCUUCAAGAGUACCUAAUGCUGCAUAAUCAAACCUAUGUUCAGCUUAAGACGAGGUGAUAAAAGGACGAGUUUCCUCUAUGUCCUUUGGAGAUUCUACUACAUCUCCUCCAUCCUUCUGCUUGACUUGACUUGUCAAAUCAGCCUUUCCAUUUGCAAUAUCUAUAGCUUCACCAGGAGCAUUUGUGAAUUUUCUAUCUUCAUCUUCUUUGUUAUGUGACCCUUUUUCCACCAUUGUUGAGAAAAUAACAUUUUGCAUCCAAAGGCUCUUGGGUAAGUAAAAUUGGCUUUUCUUUCAUUGAGUAGUUCAUAGAGAGACUUCUUGAGAAAGGACCUGAUCAUACACUUGUUAUUCAAGUAACAAGCAGUGCUGAAUGCUUCAGCCCGUGAACCAGAUCCUCCAUAGCCAACUUGUUCAACAAGUAGAAACUUAUAUGCCCAAUUAUCUUUACCAUAACUCAGCAUUAUCAAUGACACUUAGGCAUGUUAGAUCACCACCAUGUAGGGACUCAAAAUCAACAACGUAAACAUUCUUGUAUCUUUUGAACUCAAGCACCACCACACGAGUCACAAGAUUUGUUACUGUGCAUAUCUUGGACAAGAAUUCCACUUUAUUUCCCUUUUCACAUAUCUGAGAAACACUAAACAGACUGUACUUCAGGCCAUUGACAUAGUACACGUUCUCAAUAGAGUGAGUGAGUGACUACCCAAUUCUUCCUACUCCUAGAGUGGCUAUUUCCAAAGGGUACACUCUCUCAUUGCAGGGCUUUCAGUGAAAGAAAAUCAUUUAUUCUUCUUGUCAUGAGCUUUGAGCAGUCGCUAUUCAUGUACCACUGUUGAAUCCUCCCUUUCACUGUUCCCUACACACUCAUUAUUGUCAUCCUCUUUAUCCUAAUCAGACUGAGCUAUCAAUGCAAACAAUGAAUCAUAAUCCUUUGCUUAAUUUUCCACUGCCAUCAUAGAGUUGCUUCCUGCAUCUGGUUCCUCUUUUGAUUCACUGGAGGAGUCUCUCUAUGCAGCAAGAGCUUGCUUCACAACAUUGUUAGUUGAACUUUUUUAGCUAAAUAAUUAGUUAGGACCAGGUUCCUUUUUGCUACUUUGUUAGAGUUGUGUUUGUAAUGCUAUUUUUUCAUAAGUGGGUAGUCUUCGAUGAAAUGCCCUGGUUUUUCGCACUUGUGACAACAAUCGUAUCCUUUAGUGUUUCUGCUAGAGCUACCCUUCAUGGGAAUUCCUCUAUUUCUAUAAACCAUUUUCUGAAAUCAUUGUGGUUUAUUGGUUGAUUGACUUUCCUCGAAGUUUGGUGGAGCAUCUAUGUAGAUCCUUUCUAGGUGUUAACAUUUUAGAAAGAACAUGCUGUGAUACAAACUGAUAGAAACUAAGCUUGACCAGACUGUAUAGAGAACCAGAUUCUCUAUCAGUUCCUACUGAAAUCAACAGACUGUAAAACCAACUAGCAUAGGUAAUUAGAUUCUCUAAAUUUACCCAUAGUAGCUCGGUAGUAAAUAUAGAACAGAGGAUUUUUACGCAGAAAAAUCCCAACUCAAAGGGACAAAAACCAAGACCUACAAUUGUAGGCUUUCAAUUUAUUAACUUGUAAACACCUAUUACAAGCCACUUUGUAAUGACUCCAUUACAAAGACUUCAACUCAACUAACUUGUGAUACUCUUACCACAAGCCAUUUUGUCACUCUCUAGUUACAAGGACUUUAACCCCUCUAACUUCUAAUAACACUAUUACAAGCCACUUUGUAAUAACUCUAUUACAAAGGCUUCACAACUUGACUAACUCUAGCCAAGACACAAACACAAGGGUUUAUGAUUUACAAAGGGUUUCCUACAUAAUGCUUUUAACUAAUCUAAGUAGGAGUUACAAAUGAAGAACAUAACAAAGACUCAACAAACCUAAGGACUUAAGAUAUCUUCAAUCUUGGAUCCGGUGCUUGAGGUUGUAAUAGCUUUGUUCGUGAGAGAGGUUGUGGUAAGCACUUGAGAGAAUAUUUUCUUUUUUAAUUUUCAAGUGUCGGAAAGAAUGUAUUGUGCCUUGAACCAGUUUGUAAUACAUAAGCCAUCACCAUAGUGAUGUCGAUUCAUAAUGGUGAUGUCAAAUCUUGGCUAGUAUAUGCCUCUUCUCAAUGCGAAGUGAUUGCUGCACUAUCGCGUGUACAAUUGCAAGUAGUCACUUCCUGUAGUUGCUUUCCAGCUGUAUAGUUGACUUAUACUUUUAUCAGGGGAACGCCAAGGGAUCAUGUCCCUAAUUUGGUUCUUAUGAAUCUAUUGGCACACUGCCUAGAUUAUCUUGAGUCGAUUAACUUGAAUGAUUGUACUAGGCAUGCUUCUGGUCCUUUAUCUGGUUCUCUCAUGAAGUAAGGUUUUUUACCUACCUUGAUUGUAUUUAUACACGUAUGACAUCACUUAUAAUGAUGUAAUAAAGAUAGGUAGAAAUCCUUCCACAUAAAGUUAACUACUGCACUAUUCAUGUAUAGUAGCGUGUGGGGGCAACAAUAUUCUAGCUAGAGAGUUGACUUCAGACAGUCUCCUCGGGAACUGAUAGGGACUUGUUCCCUCAGCUGUUCCUUCCACUCUGAAGUGUUGAGUUAUAUCCCACACUGGAUCCCAACCUGGAACUUUGUGAUCUCAAGGUCUUAUAAAUAGGAACAUAUUCCUUAUGUGGUUCUGGAUUGUAAGUUUGUUAGGUCAUCAAAACAUAAAAUAAAGUACAUAUGCCGAAGGUACUUGUAACCUUUCAUUAACGGUUGUGGAUGAUUUUGGUAAAUACACAUGGAUAUACUCAUUGCAGCUUAAAUCAGAAGCAAUAGUUGCUAUCAUAAGUUUUUUGCAAAUGGUUAAAAACCAAUUUAGAACAAUGGUAAAGGUCUUGAGAUCUGAUAAUGGGACAAAGUCUUUUAACUCUAAGUUAAAUGAGUUGUUACAAGGCUUUCAAAGAAUACAUCAAAGUAUUUGUACUCACACUCCACAACAACAUGGUGUUGUGGAGAGGAAGAAUAGACACAUACUAGAUGUAGCAAGAGCAAUAAGAUUCCAAUCCCAUAUGUCGGUAAAAAUUUGGGGUAUUUGUGUGUCUUUGAAAUAGUCUAUUUGAUCAACAGAACGCCAUCUUCAUCCAUCAAAGGGAAAAGUCCAUAUAAAAUGCUAUAUAGAAGAUCUACACUCUUAGGACAUUUGAGAGUGAUAGGUUGCUUAUGCUGCGCUACUGUGCCCAGGGGCGAUAAAUUUACUACAAUAGCAAAGCCUGCAGUUUCAUGGGGUAUUCUGAAAGACAAAAAGGCUAUGUGCUGAUGGACUUGGGUUAUAAACCGUUCUUUGUUAGCAGGGAUGUAGUAUUCAAGGAAGCACAGUUCCCUUUUGCUUCCACACCAUUAGUUGACUGUCCACUGGAUCCUGAUCUGAUUGUGCAAGCUUCCCAAGAUCUACCACUGGAUCCAAUCUACAUUAGCAAAAACACAACCAACAAUGAUCUCAUAGAGGAUCAUAUAUUAGUCAAUGAAAAUCCAAUAGAGAAAGUCGAGGAGACAACCGCCCAGAGUGAAGAGUCACCUUCUGAAGAGUCACUAUAUAAUCACCAUGAGUUCCAAAGAGUCAUUGCAGAAUCAACCAUCUCAAACGACCACUGUGCCAGCAUCACAUGUACCUCUUAGAAAGAGCACAAGAGAGCUUAAGGAACCUAUUUGGAUGAAGGAUUAUGUAGCUUCAAGUAAGAACUCUACCAAGUAUCUUUUGGAUAAUCACUUGACAUAUGAACAUACUACUCCAAAUUAUCAUAGCUAUAUGGAAAAAUUCUUUACUCUGGUAGAGACACAAACCUUCAAACAUGCAGUUAAGGAUGAUAGAUGGAUCAAGGCCAUGCAAAAGGAGAUUCAAGCAUUAGGAGACAAAAAACUUGGAAGGUUGUUGACUUACCUACAGGAAAGAAUAUUGUUGGCUCUAAAUGGGUAUAUAAGAUUAAGUACCAAGCCAAUGGUAAAGUGGAAAGGUUUAAGGCCAAACUUGCUACAAAAGCUUAUUGUCAACAAGAAGGGCUUGAUUAUCAUGACACAUUCUCAUCUGUUUCCAAAAUGGUAACAGUGAGAUUAAUAAUUGCCUUAGCAGUUUCAAAAGGCUGGACUCUAUAUCAAAUAAAUGUCUAUAAUGCUUUCUUAUAAGGUGAUGUAUGUGAGGAAGUAUAUACGGUAACGCUGCUGGAAGUAGAGGGAGAAGAAAAUUUGCAGGUUGCUCAAGUCAUUUUAUGGACUUAAGCAAGCAUCCAGACAAUGGAACAUUAAGUUGACAGAUCCAUUACUAGAAGCAGGUUUCUCUAAAAGCAAGUCAUCACUACUCCUUGUUUACUCUCAACAAACAGGCUGACAUUGUGGUGAUUCUUGUAAUGACCCGACCGAUUGUUUUGAGGUCUAGCACUUCGUUCGGCAGUUUGGGGCCAUGAGAAGCUUCACUUCAGGUAUUAUGACAUGUACGCAUGGUCGGAUAUGAAUUUCGAGAAGUUCGGAGUUGAUUUGAAAAGAGAAUUCUCAUUUCGGAAGCUUUAAGUUGAAAGAAAUAACUAGGAUUGGUUUUCUGAUCAAAUGGCCUCGAAAUUAGGAUUCAAAGGUUCCAACAGGUUUCUAUGAUGAUUUUGGACUUGGGCAUAUGUUCGAAUCGGGUUUUGGAUAACCUAGGAGCGUUUUGGCGCAUACUGUGGAAGUUAGCAUUUUGGAAGAAAUUUCUUAAGUUUGGGUGAAAGUGAAUUUCAGUGUUAACGAUGUCUGUUUGGGAUUUUGAGUCUGGGAGUAGUGCUGUAUGGUGAUUAUGAUGUCGGGAGCACGAUCAGAAGUGAAUUCGGAGGCCCGUGGGUCAUUUUGGAGUUAUUUGGCUAAAGAUAGAAAUUUGAAGGUUUUUGAGAAGUUUGACUGAAGUGGACUUUUUGAUAUCGCAGUAAAAUUCCAAUUUCGCAAGUUGGAGUAGGCCCAUAAUGUCAAACGUGACUUGUGUGCAAAAUUUGAGGUCAAUCGUACGUGAUUUGAUAUGUUUUGGCGUCGAAUGUAGAAGUUUGAAAUUGCAAAGUUCAUAAAAUCUGGAUUCGAGUAAUGGAUGUGAUUUGAGGCCUCGAGCGAGUUCAUAUCAUGUUUUAGGACAUAUUGGUAUAAUUGGUUACAGUCCCGAGAGCCUGGGUGCAUUUUGGAAGGUUAAAAGAAUGAAUUUCGGACCAAAGAGUUGCUGAAAUUUUCCGUAGAAAGUUAUUUUGAUAGCAACUAGUGCAAUCAUGGAGCUUCAUUUGGAAGCUUAUAUCUCAAAAUCUAUAAGGAAUCUAAAAAUUUGUAAAACAUAAAAUUUGUUGCCCUUUCAUUCUAGUUUCUAAAAAGUUUAACCAUGUAUGCUUUGGACAUUAUAUUAGAAAUUAUGAUCGAUUGAAGAUGGCUGAUAGAGCAGUUUUGACAGAAUUUUCUAAUGCAUGGACUCAUAUCUCGGAAUAUAUAAAGAUUUAUAUGAUGUACAACCUAUCAUAUAAAAUUCAAGUAUAAUUUCCAAAUCUUCAAACAAUUUGUCAUUUGGAUAUUUUCACAAGGUGCUAUGGGCGUUUAAUAGAAGGUGUACAGUAGGGAAAAAAUGUUAAUAGGAUGUAGAACCUGCACAUUGCAAGGUACAACUCAAUGAAGCCUAGCAGAUUAUCUUAAACACGAGUUUUGGCCCAUUUCUUUCAUUUCUCUCAUUUGGAUUGGACGAUUUUGGAGAGUUCAAGGCGGUAUUUUCACCAAGAAACACUAGGUAAGUGAUUUCUUCCUAUUUUUGAGUUAAAUAUGUGAUCUUCCAUGGAUUUAGACAUGAAAAAUUAGUGUAAAUUUGGAAUUUCUUGGGAAGAACUAGAAUUUGGAAUAUGGACUUUUACCUUGAAUUUGAGCAUGAGAAUUAGAGCAAAUUGUAUAUUUGAGUUGGUAAAGCUAUAGGUAGAAUUUAUCUUCGAGAAAUUUGGGAAUCUGGACACAUGGGCCCGAGGGAAUUUUGGUCAACUUUUCGAGGGGAGUUGGAAAUUUAUAUAAUUUGAACUAUUACAAGUAUUAGAGUUAAUUUUUAUUGGUUUGCCUGUUAUUUUAAUAGUUUAAGGCGUUGUGCAACAAUUGCAGUCGUUGUAAGGGCUUGGAAACUAGUUAUUAAAAUUUUUGAGCGAGGUGAGUCCCCUUUCUAACAUUGUAAUAGGAAAUUGUCCCAUAGGUGAAAUAAUUUAUUAUGUGCUUCUAUUUGUUGGGGCUACGUAUGCACGAGGUGACGAGAGUCCGUGCGUAGCGAGUAAUAUGUGUAAAUCGGGGUAGUCUAGGACCCAAAAGGAUGCUAUACACGGAGUAUCUAUAAUAUUAUUGAUAGUUGAAUUGCUUAAAUCCUAUCAAAUUGGUAAAUGAAUUUCUAAAAGUAUUAAACUUCAUUUUCUUAAAUCGUCAAAAGAGAAUUGGCUUUUAUUUGGAUAAAUGUUCCCCAAUAAAUUCUUAAUUGGCUGUUUAAGCAUGUAUUUCUAUGUGUACCUGCAUCGCAUGUAUGAUUUGUGAGCAAGGUGAUUGUUUAUUUAAAUUUGACUGUGUCACAUGUAUGAUUCGCAAGCAAGGGUAAUAUAUGCAUCUACGGUUCGCGUCGCUGGACCCUCGAUAAUGCACAUUUUAUAUUUAUGUUGGAUCGGGCCAUACGAUCUCGGCAUGGUUUUUACAUGCUUGUAUUGCUUAUCUUGAGAGUUAUUGAUAUUGAUAUUUGCUCUCCCCAAAUUGAGAUAAUUGUUAAUUAAUGGAUUAUUAAUCCAUAGACUUUUAAUAAAAAGGAAUUCUUACUUGUUUCGUGACUUAUUUGAAUUUACUGUUGUUCCUAAUAAAUCCGUGAUUCAUCGCAUUAAUAAUAUUACUAUUGGAUAAUUAGAAAGUCUCGAAGUCGACCUCUUGCCUCUACUUCUUCGAUAUUAGAUGGGAUACUCAUUGGGUACAUGUUGUUUUUGUACUCAUACUACACUUGCUGUGCAUAUUUGUUGUGCAGGUUCAUACAUGACUAGUGCGUUAAUGAUAUAGCAACAUGGUUGAUAUGGAGACUUACUGAGUUACAAUUAUCGACACGACCUGUAGCCAGCAGAGUCUCCUUCAAAGUAUUGUACUAUAUUUUCAUUUAUGUCCACUUGUAUUCCGGACAAGUAUUGUAUUGUACAUCAUUCCCUGGUAAAUGCUCAUGCACGUGUGAAACCGUGUUCUAGGAUAUCUAUGAGUUUAUUCAGAAAUUAAAAAUUGUUAAAUGAUUCAUUAUUUAUUUAGUAGAAUUUAUUAUGUAUUGUUUAAACAUAUAAAAGAAGUGAUUUAAAAAAUAUUUAAAAUGAG